GAAAGGUUUAUUUUUUGCCUAAAUGUACAAAGGCAAGUUACAGUAUUGUAUAUAAAAAAAAAAAGAAAUGUGGCAAUGUACACUUUACAUAAGAGAGAAACCCUUGGGGAAAGGACGGCGGGGAGGAGACGAGGUGGGGGAGACGAGGUGGGGGAGGAGACGAGGUGGGGGAGGAGACGAGGUGGGGGAGGAGACGAGGUGGGGGAUGAACCAAAACAAAACAUAGAAAUAAAAAAAGAAGAAGCUGUAAACAUCUUUCUUUCAAGUACCGAUGACUGAUACCGAGCCACUGCUCUGGGGGCGGGGCUGAGUGUGAUAGAGCAGGGGAGGUUUAGGGGGCAGGGUUAUGAAUAGAGAACAGGAAGAGGACAUCCCACACAAGAACAUUCCCUCCUCCCCGGUGGGAGGAACACAAGGAUCGACUACCCAAGCACCAUUUGAGACAACGCCUCAAACGUGGCUGCCCGUGGGAGUAUGAUCAACAAGUCAUUUCUCUGCCUGGCAGGUGUCAACGUACUAAAAAAAAAAAGAUCUGCAAAACUAGAUUCUCGAAAAAUAAAAUCAAGUGCUUUUCCCCCUUCCCCUCAUCAUUUUUAACAGCCUGCCACCAGCACAGGGGAUCUGGUUUAACAAUGAGACGUAGAACAGCAGAAAAUGACAUUAUUACUAUAUGACCUCACCCACCUUCCGUCUUCACUCUGUACAGACGGAUUAAAACCAAAACACUAACUCCUCCCCCAUUGUAUUAUGGACACAUGUCAACAACAGAAAAAUCUGUGCCAGUAUUAAUCUGUGCCAGUAUCCAAUCAUGGCUGAACAUUAACAGUCAUGUGGUGAGAGAAAAAUGCACACACCCUUGAAAUAACAACCCCAUUAAAAGAUUACAACCUCAAAUAAUAAUAACUGUAGCGACCCGUCUUUAGAAACGGGGAUAUCGACUUCACCACGUUUGCGUCACAGUCGAUGUCACGCAGGGCUACGAGCCAGAAGGUUCAGGGUUUUUCCACCACGGACGAGAUUCUCCCUGCCGGUCUCAUUACACUACAAUCAGAGUCUGGCAGACAAUGAUCAGCCAGGGGGGAAAUCAGAUUUUCAACAUUUUGAUGCUAUAUUUAUAGAAAAUAUAUGCAACUAAUUUUCCAACAACAGGUUUCUGUGCCAAUGCACCACACAACCAAUAAGCAAAGCAUAACUGCACACGGAUGACCAAUUCCGGGCCCUUUAACAUCAUGUUUUGUGUUUUCAACACCAAAAUGAAAUGGAUCUCGACAAACGGAAAACACAACCCUCCCUACGUUGUAUCGACAAUCUGUUUCGUAACAGAUGGCUCUUUCUAGAGGCGUCACUACAGACCCUGGUUCGAUUUCAGGGUGUAUCACAACCGGCCGUGAUUGAGAGUCCAAUGGGGCGGCGCACAAUGGGCCAAGCAUCGUCCGGUUCGGGGGUAGGCUGUCAUUGUAAAUAAGAAUUUGUUCUUAACUGACUUGCCGUGUUAAAUAAAGGUUCAAUGAAAUAAAAAAUAGCCAGUUCGGAUGCCGGAAUUAUAUCAGAGUGGACCGACGUACAAAGGCACCCUACGGGAGGCCUUUGAUGUAGCCUAAUCAGAUUAAAACGUUGUGACUGGUUGUGUUCAUGCCACACAUAAAAAUGAAAUGACAAAUAUUUCGGCUAUAUUGAAGCGCUAUGGUUCUAGUUGCACGAGGAAUAGCCGUUCGGAUCAGAGAGGAGGCAGAACGCAGGUUAAUCUUUCCGGAAUCACUGGGCCUGCUGGGAGCAUAGGCCUAUGUGGCUACAUUAUUAUAGGACCACUUGGGAGAAUGAUGAUCCGCAACAGACAGCCCAUUCGGUAUCAGAAGGAAAAAAUAUAGCUAGACUGGCCUGCUACUGUGCUUUUCUAGAUCCACAACUGAUCCAAAUGGAAUGAAAACAUUCAUAUAAACAGGGAUUUUGCGCUGUUAUUGAAAUUACAUUUCCACUACAGUUUACAGCCUAGAGUAGAAUGUUGUAGUCACUUGAAAACAUUAAUGCAAUUAUUCAAUGCAUUGUGGCGUUGUAGGCUCGUCUAGGGUAGAAUCAUUGUAUUGUUCCUAAACAAGAUCUAUAGGGGAGCUUCAUGUGCUCACUGUUAUUUCAUGCGCAAUGAGACACCUGGCCUCUCCGCUGCCUAUCAGCUAUUCCUUUAUGUUCUUGUGGAUUUAUAUAGAAAAUUGGUGCAGAUUUGAAUAAUUUUAUGUGUGGUAUGAUUGCUAGUUAACCUAUUGCAGAUCUGGACAAACAAUCCACCUACCACUACUGUCACUAUGAAUGGUGAAUAGAGGGAAGGAUCUACUAUUAGACUAUACCGACCUGUGGUACAGUAGGAAGUUAGCACAUGGAAAAACAGUGUAUAAAGGAAGUACCAAAACACCUUGAUAUAGGGGAGGAGCAUGCAAGCAGAUGAGGACAAUUGGCUAGGAUGGAAGAAAUUAUAUAGUAAAACCUGCUAAAUGGUGAAUGUAAAAUACCCUCCCCUGUGCCCAGUAAAAAAACAAACAAUACAAAAACCACUAAUCAAAUUGAUUAUUUCAGACUUUCCGUGCUGCGCUCCCGAGCAAGCCGGAUCCAUGAAGGGUAAUAAAAGCACCAGAGCGAAUCAGAUUGACUGUUUUUAGCGGGCGGGGGCGGGCUCUGUGCGGCGGUGUUGGGAUCGAUGGGCACCAUUUAACGGGAGAGGGGUGGACCGGGUGGGAGAAUCUGCUGUGUUUUACCUCUCUAUCAAACCUUCUGGACAGCAGCUCUGCUCUCAGCCUGUCUCGCUCCAGUCCUACUUUGUCUGUCGCGGCAGAAAGUAAUCAUGUGCCAACUUCCCCAGCCAACAAACUGCAUUCACGAUCGGCAUCUUGUGGAACCCGAAAAAACGACAACAAAGGAGUGAAGGUUACAAUGACAUGUUGACAUGUGACAUUGUUUUCCUUGAGGCGGCUUGGGAACGUGCGCGGAGAAGGGACUAAAAUGGCAUCGUGGGCUUCGAGGGGGGACAACAAGCUUCCGAAGGGGUGAGGUCCAGGGAGGGAGGGAAAAAAAUGAUCACAACACUUCAAUUCUAAAGCUGUUACGUCAGCUACAGUUUGUCAUAUUAUAUCAAGAAUGUUAGGGAAAAAAAGAGAAGGCUAACAGACCAAAAAAGAAAAGAAAAAAAGCAAGUAGGACAUUUUUUCAAUAGCAUCGAAACAAACCUUUUUAAAAUAAUUCCUCUGUACACUAUAUACAGAAAACCACAAUAGUGAGUGCGUGUGGGGAAAAAGAGAGAGAGAGAAGGGCGGGAGGGAGCUGAUAGGAAGUGUCCCAAAGCAAACGUGCACACGGCUCGUUCCGCUGGGAAGGACUAUGUGUUGGGCUAACGCGUUACAGUGCCGUCUUACACCAUGCAGGCACACACACACGACAGAGAUAGUUGGAAAGGAGAGAGAGAUAUGAUGGGAGGGGAUGUGUGGGCCCGCAGGAGAGAUUCCAUUUUGCAAUUGCUUUCAUUCACCAAAUAUAGCACAGGGGCAUGUGCCAACUCCCAGUAACACAGCACUCCGUGACUACGAGUACUCUAAUAAAUAUACAGGAGUGAGCUGCCCGUCUCUCCAGCACUACACACUAGAUCAGAGGGAGAGCGAGUGCAGCAGCUGCCAUAUCCACUGAGCAUCCAUUGACAGCUCUGGAGAGAGCCUCCCUCUGUGUUCUUCGAUGUCCACUGAUGAGGGAGGACUGCAGCCAUCCCAUGAUGCAGUUUGGUGAGAGACUAGCAGCAGUAGCCAGAUUGUGGUUUGCAGACAGUUGCCAACUGUUCACAUACAAAGUCCUGUGGGUCCCAGACAGCUUCCAUGUCCACAAACUGACACUUGGAGCCCACAACAGCCAAAACAAAUGCCAUAUGUACUGUAAGAGCUGGAUGGAUGGCUCUAUGGACCCUCUCUCCUCUUCCAGCCUCAGCAGUGUCCAGUGAGGAUGGAUGGCUUGGAUAGAUGGUUCUAUAGAACCAGAGGCCGCAUCUGAAGAAUCCAGACGGCCUUUCCGAUCAGUGCAUCUUUCUCCUUCCCUUUCCGGGUCACAGAGCUUGGAGAGCCCCUGAAUGGUGCAUCUGUACUCCUCUCCUCCCCCUCCGUUCCUCUUCUCUCUCGGAGCCAAAAUACCUUCUGGCACAGAUAUGUCCUCUCCCUCUAAGGCGGGGCCCUCGCUGAGCAGCUGGGAGCUGUAGCCGUAGCGGAUGCAUUGGUGCUGCUUUGUAAACUGGAUGACCCUUUGGAAAAGGAAAACCGCGACACAGCUGCCGCCUCCGACGCCACUGAGAGAGGCCAGUAGUGUUCGAAGCAGCGGCAAACAGCCAAGGGAGUUUCCUUACUGGGUCAGAGUGAGAUGGAAACAAGGUAGUCAAGCCAAGACGUGGAACGAACGCCGCACAAAAGCCUCAUACAAAAAAAAAAGCACAAAAAAAACUAACACGGAUAUUGUUUACGCUCUGAACAAACUCAAGUAGGCGGAUGAUGACUUUUCACAAAACAACAAAAACAUUGUGAACUUGAAAGUUCCUCCCCCUGAAACUGAACAGACAGAGAGGAGGACUGUUUCUGUCAGUGUAUGAAGAUGAGCAGCUUCGGCUUGCAUAGAAAGCCCAGAGUGGAGGAGAGGGAUGGGGACACCAGUAGGUCCCUCCUCUGGCCCAAACAACAACCCCCCCCCAAUAAAAGACAUAACCGAAAAAGAAAUGGGUCCAUUGCAAUGAAGGUCUCAAGAUGUCCUCAGGGUCAGUGGGUAGGUUGGUGGAUGGACGAAACAAUCCACUUCCUCAAGUUAAGCUGCAACUCCACUACGCUAAGGCCCAGGAUCCGUGAACAAUCCAUUAAGUCCAUAUUUCCAUGUAGUGAUUUCAAACUUAAUCCAGUUUGUUUCUGAUCAACCUCCUCUCCCUUUUGCACUCUCUAGUUCCAAAAUGGUCGUCGAUGGGCCUCACCCCAUCAGAACGUGCCAGUCUCAUCAGGCCUUAUUCCGGGCCUUUUAGUCCUUCCUGUGAAUGUCUCAGCAGUGCAAAGGAGUCAAUGGACUGGCUGGCUGGUUGGCCGUGCGGUACCAGAGGAGGUGGGCUCGGUGAGCCCUCAACCAAGCCAUAGGAAGCCUUGCUGUGGGGGUGGCCAUCAAUGAAGCUGAGGGAGGAACCAGAUCAGCCGGAACAGCCAGGCAAAAUCAACUAAAAGUACAACAAACACCAUUGAACUGAUGUUUAAAAAACGAGCGCCGCAGCACGCUUCCUUAUGUGAUCCAGUCACAUGGCUCCAGGCAAGGUUGAGGUCAGCCAAUCAGGUCUCCC
ensembl:lncRNA